GGUGGUUUCGGCUACCUCAUUCUUGAGAAAUCAAGUGAUACAGAGAAGAUUAGCAUGGUCCCUGCACAAGGACGACUUACUAAUCGAGAAGGGUAUCGACUUUUU
rnacentral:snRNA from 1 species